rnacentral:rRNA from 1 species
UACGAAGGGGGCUAGCGUUGCUCGGAAUUACUGAGCGUAAAGCGCACGUAGGCGGCUUUCUAAGUCGGGGGUGAAAUCCUGGAGCUCAACUCCAGAACUGCCUUCGAUACUGGAGAGCUCGAGUCCGGGAGAGGUGAGUGGAACUGCGAGUGUAGAGGUGAAAUGCGUAGAUAUCAGGAGGAACACCUGUGGUGUAGACAGCUUACUGGACCAUUUCUGACGCUGAGACACGAAAGCGUGGGUAGCAAACAGG